rnacentral:lncRNA from 1 species
UCCUGCUUGUUUAUUAGAUGGAGUGUACAGCAGAACAAUAGAAGUAUGCCUAAACUGGGAUUGGUGCAGCGAUUGUAUGUGGUUUGAGAGGGGACUGUAUAAUUAUGUGUAGAUAGGAUUCUGUGUUAGGUCUAUAUGCGCAUCCCCAAAUGUACCCCUUGCCCCAUACCUCUUGUGCACUUGUGUAGAUUACUGUUUCACUAAUAGCUAUCCAGUUCUCCAUAAGUGCACUGGGACUACGGGGUUGAUUUGGGAAAGGAACACCCUUGUCAGGAUGUUCAGCAAAAUCACAUCUCUCUUUUCAUCAGCCCGUCAACCACACAGCACCUCUAACAGCCUGCUAAUCACAUUGCGGUUCUCUAGAAGUCAGCCAAUGACAUAGUGUCGAAGGUCAAUGACAGACCGUCAGAGGCUCCUACUGUCCUUGUGGCAGCCGCUACAUCAAAGAGACAGGUGACUGUGUGUCAAAGUGUGUGUGUGUGUGUGUGUGUGCACAUGCAUUUCUGUGAGACAGGCAUCAAAGAAAGAGUGUAAGUGUGAGAGACACAUUUUAAGAAAGUGUGUGUGUGUUCAAUUUUACUGCUCCCACCCCCAUUGAGGCCUAAACAGCAGGACAUGGAGACCAUUUAGGGGUCAAGUUAACCUUUUCACAUUCCAGUCAAAAGCAUCCAUACAAAAAUAUAGAGUAUACACUAAUAUAUAUACAGUACAUUGUCUCUUAUAAAUACAGUAUAACAGUUUAUCAAACAAACUCAAACCUGUGGGCAGACCACAGCAUUUCAUGGAAAAAAGAACAUAGCUGCAUAAAAGUACGAAAAACAACGGACGUUUUACAAGAGUAGCAACAUUAGUAAUGCCAUAUGUAAAGACAACAACAGGUGUGAUAGAAGUUAAACUGUUCAAAUACUGGAUUUUGUUCGUUUAAAUCCCCAGCUAUCGUUGGGACAUGAAUUGUUCUAAGAUAUCUCUUGCUACCUCUCCCCAUUCCCUAUCUUGGUUUCACAAUUCCAUCACCCCCUCCCUUUCUUUACAUUUUUUCCUCCCUCCAUUUAUCUGUCUGUUUUGAAUUGAGGCCUUUUUAGCAUGUUGAGUUGAGUUAGAGAACCUGUAUGGUCAGCUACUGUAGCAUUAGCACCAGAUGGGUAAACUACAAAGCAGGAUCAAUGAGUUAGCCUGCUAACUUAUAAACAAGCAGAAAUAACUACAGAUUUUCUGGUUAAUUAAGAAGGCUAAACUUAGAUUUGGGUUUUGGUUGUUGAGUCAAUUAGACCAUGCCCAUUUCAAGCUUAUCUUCCUAAAAAAGAAAAAGUUAUGUCAGAAUAUUCAGGUAAGUUAGCUAGCUAACUUGUUUAACUUGUGUUGUAUUAUACCCCUCAGAGCUCCGAAAGUCACAUAUAAUGCUGGGCAUUACCGUGAUCGCAACAUGUUCUUGGGAAGGAUUUGCUAACAGAAGUCAUACAGUAAAAAAAAGAAGCCAUAAAUAACAUAAUAAACACAAGCUAACAGCAUAAGCAGCAGGUAGUCUAGAGGUUAAGAGUGUUGGGCCAGUAACCGAAAGGUCGCUGGUGCAAAUCCACGAGCCGACUUGGUGAAAAAUCUGUCGAUGUGUCCUUGAGCAAGGCACUUAACCCUAAUGUCUCCUGUAAAUCGUUCUGGAUAAGAGCGUCUGCCAAAUGACAAAAAAAUGUAAAUGUAAAAAUAACAUGGAGAGCUCAGUGAGCAAGUGACUGUGCAGUUCCUGGGUACAUGACAAUAGUCUUAACGGUUUUCCUCUCCUUUGAACAUUAAACACACAUUUUGCUUUCACCUAUCCUGUCUUUUCAGAUCAGUGCAGAUGAAGGAAAGGAGGUGAGGAGAGGAAGCCCCUUGGGACUAGUGAUAUGCUAGCCUGGGUACCAGGACAGUCUGUUCUUUCCUUAGCCAGCUCUGCAGUUGACUAGGACUGAAGCAGAGUCAGACUGGCACCCAGGCUAGUGUGUAGCAUUAGGGUUGAAGGCUGUUUAAAGCACUAUAGCUGCUUUGCUGGUUUUGUUACGAUGCUGUGUAAGUCAGAUAGCAAAGCAGGAUAGUGUGUGUGUGUGUGUGUGUGUGUGUAGUUGGAGGUUAUUAAAUAGUAAAGGAUGUGGAUUAAUAAUGGAUCCUGACAGACCUAACACAGAAACCCCUCACUAUCCCUCCUUCGCUCCCUUUCUCUCUUCCUCCCUACGUAUCCCCCCUCAGAAUGAAUCUCUCGCUUGCUCUGUCUGUCUGCCUCUCUCUUAGGGUCCUCUGUCUUUCAGGGUCAUGUCAGGGGAGUAGAAAAGGACGUUGGUGUCAUCAUCAUCCUCGUCACUGAAGUCUCCCAGCUCAGCCUGCGUGUAGUGCACCGCCCCAGCAUGGUACUCCCUGAUACGCGUCCUGUCACACAGCCGAGACUGCAGCGCCAACUAGGAUCACACACAGAAACACAUAUUCACAGAGUUAACAGAGUCACACACACACACACACCACACACACACACACACACACACACACACACACACACACACAAAGAGACAGACACGCACACAUUUGGCAGAGCCGAGAUGUGUGCUGAUUGUAGUGCCACAGGCAGUUGAGCCGC